UCUCCCUUUCUGCCUACAGUUUGGAAGAUCUCCCCUAUAGCUCUGAGACUGUUCUGUUUCUCUCCCCAAGUCUCUCUCCUAGACUGUGGGAACCUGGAAGUCCCGCCUCUUUCUCUCUGCCCAGCCAUUAGCUACUGAUGUCUUUAUUGAUAGAUCAAAAACCAACUGGGGAUGAGGACCUUCAGUGUCAGUAAACACAGAGUCCUGAUCAAGCAUCAGAACCGCCUCCCUACAGAAGUCAUGCCUGGCUGUUCUCAGCAACUAAGGUGAUGUCUUUGAUGUCCGUUUACCAACAGGCUUUGGUUCUGUUUCCUGUCAAUGCUGAUGUAUUCUGGCUGUUUGAUUCAACUCUAGAACAAGAUUUACACAUGGGGAGAAAAACAGAACCAAUAACCAAUGGUCAGGAGGAAAGUUUGUUGGUAAUAGGUAGGAAGAACGCUGUCUCCAACCCUACCCCCAUUAUCUGGAGAUGACCUCAAGCAAGACCCCACCCAGCUAAGCUUCCGCCGUCUGGAAAGGAAUUAAAGGACGGCUUAGGUAGUGAAGGAGCCUACAGGAGGCUGGUGCACACGUGAUUGAACUAAGGGGCCAAAUUCAUCAAGCAGCAGAACUUGGCAGCUUCAGCCUGUGUUCUGGCUUUAGAGUCAAGGAUACUAGAAAGGGAUUAUGGUGAAGAAGAGCUGCUUAGGUCAGGCAUGUGACAGCCAUGUCCCUGCACAGAGUCCCGGAGAGGACACUGUGUGAAGCUGCGAGGUGAAGCCUGGGUUUUAUUGUCAACUCCAGAAUGUUGGAGAUGCUAGGGUCAUGGGAUAACUGCCAAGGAGAGAUGCUAAUAGGGAGUGGAACCAGCCUCCCAGAGAGAACUCAACAAAGCUGAAGGGAGUUGGAGAGGUGAAGAGCAUUCCGACACCAGACAUGGAGAUGCCGAGCUGAAUUUUGCCCAGGUAGUUGUCAGUCUUACAUUGGUCCAGUAUUUCCUCACCACGCUCCCUUUUCUCCCUUCUGGAACAUCCCGUACGUUGGUAAAUAUAUGAGCUCCUUUUUUAUUUCCAUUUACAGAGGUUGCCAUUAAGAGAUCGCAUGGAUCUCAGAAGAGACUUUGAACUUUGUUGAACUUCUAGACUAUGGGGACUUUUGAAGUGGGACUGAGCGUUUUUGCAUUAUGACAUGGCUACAAGACUCUGGGGCCCACGGAGUGCAAUGUGGUGGUUUGAGUAAGAAUGGCUCUCAAAAGUUAGUGUAUUUAAUUGUAAGGGAGAGGCGCUAUUUAAAAGGAUUAGGGUGCGUGGUCUUGCUGAAAGAAGUGUGUCUCUAGGGGUGGGCUUUGGGGUUUCAAAGGGUGAGGCUCUGAUGCUAAAGUCCUGUCCCCCAAUUGGUUUUUGAUUCAUCAGUAAAGAAAGCCUUGGGCCAAUUGCUGGGCAGAAGGCAGAGGCGGGACUUCUGGGGCCCUGGAAGCAGGAGAGAAAUGAGGAGGGGAGCUUUCGCCUCCAUGCUUUAGAACCAGAAGAAUGUAGCGGCCUUGUGAGGUCUUGGGAAGAGCUGGGGCCUGGGGCCACUACCACAGGAUCUCCUGGGCCUGAAGAUAGAGCUCAGCCAUUAAGAGCACGUGCAGCUCUUGCAGAGGACCCAGGUUCAGCUCCUAGCACCCACCUGACAGAUCACAGCCACCUGUAACUCCAGUCUCAGGAGCUCUCUUCCCUCACUUCUGCAGGUGCUGCACACAUGGUGCACAUACGCAGGCAAAACCCAUAAAGUAAAAAUAACUAAUCUUUUAAAAAAGGAUUUUAUGAUAUUAUUGUUUACCCUAUUACCAUUACUCUGCAUCUCUUUGUGUAGUUAAAUUGUUCAGUUUGGUAUCACAUCCCUGUGUCUGGAAAAUCCUCUAAACUUUCUUUCCUCUCAGAGCUGCUGUUAAUGUGUUUCUGUUCACACAAAGAAUUCUUUGUUGCCCCUAUACUCUUGAGAAAUAUUUUUUUCACUGCAUAUAAAGUUUUGGACUUGUGUGUGUGUGUGUGUGUGUGUGUCUGUCUAUCUUUGUGUGUGUCAGUAUCUAUAUGUGCCUGUGUCUAUGUGUCAACAUGUGUAUGCCUGUCAGUGUGUGUGUGUGUAUGUAUGUAUAUAUGUACUGUGUGUAUGUAUGUAUGUAUACUGUGAUACACACUUGGAAGUUAGAAGACAAUUUUGUGAAGUCAAUUAUCUUUCUCCAUCCUUAUGUAGACCCACAGUGGGGACCGGAAUUAACCCUUGAGUAGGCCAACAUAUCUUCAUCGGUUUACACAUCUUCCAACGGCUUUUAAAACUGUCACUUCCCAGCUCCGAAAAAAAAAAAAAAAGAAAAAAGAAAAAAAACUGUCACUCACUCCUGUUGAGGCUUAGCCUAUUGCUAUGUAUUAUAACGCUAAAUACUGGCCCCACAAGAUCUGGUUGUCCCCAAAGAGGAGAUUCUCGGGAAUGAAAAGAUCCUCAUAGACCAAGUAAUGCUGUGUAACCUUGUGCCUUAAUUUAAAACUAUUGGUUAAAUAAAGAUGCCUACAGCCUAUGGCUGGACAGAAGAGAGGUCAGAGGAGUUUCAGUUGGCAGGCUUGGGGUCUGAGGCAGAGACGAUGAGGAGCGCAGAGAAAGAGGAGAAGAGAGAAGAUGCCAUGGAGUAGGUAGGUGGGUUAUGAAAACAUGGCCAUGAGCACCGGCCUCUUGGGGUGGGAACAGCUCAGUCAGAACAUGACCAGCGAUAUCUCAGGGCUGUUGACAGGGAAGUAGACAAAACAGCACAGAGGGUGGUUAUCUUCCCAGCCCUAUUUUACUAUAAAUAUAGAGGUUUUGUGUCUUUUAUUGGGAACUAAAUGAUCUAACAUGGGGUAGUGUCCUAGCGUUUCCAUUGCUGUGAACAGACACCAUGACCAAGGCAACUCUUACACUUGACAACAUUUAAUUGGGGCUGGCUUAGAGGUUCAGAGGUUCAGUCCAUUAUCAUCAAGGCAGGAAACACAGCAGCAUUCAGGAAGGCUGAGUCUACAUCUUCAUCCAAAGGAAGCCAAGUACACCCGACAGUUACACACUUCCUUCAUCAAGGCCACACCUACUCCAAAAGGCCACACCUCCUGAUAGAGCCACUGUCUGGGCCAAGCACAUACCAACCACCACAGCUAGAAACCCCCAAUUCAUAUUUACCACAACACACUCCACUACUUAUUUUUUUUGAUGUGCACGAUUUGACUUCCAGCAAGAGAUCUGCUACGAUUUUCCUUUGUUCCUUCAUACAUAAUGCCUUGGUCGUGGUGUCUGUUCACAGCAAUGGGAACGCUUUUAAAAAAAAAACCUCUCCACUCGCCUUCUCCAUGUUCCCCUUUCUAAUUUAAGGGUUUUCAUAUGCUAUUCCUGGACAUGUUUAUAACUUUCCUGUUCAUCUUGGCAUCAGCGAGCUCUUGUGACCUACAGCUCGGUGUCUGCAGAAAUUUUGGAAAAUUCUCAGUCAUUAUUUAUUCAAAUAUCCCUGGUACGUUUUUCCCUUUGUUUCUUCUAAUCGAGACUCAUGCUGCUGGAUGACGUUUGGCACCGGUUGUGGCUGUUUUGCUCUCUUUUGUUUGUGUCACAGAUUGGGAAACUCCUACCAACGUUCGCCAGCUCUUUGCUCAACCCCACCGAGUCUGCUAGUGAGCACACUGAAACAGGCCUUCUUUCCCACUCUCUCCCUUCCUGUUUGCUCAUCUACCAUACUGCUCAUAUUUUCCAUUUCACCUUUAACACAGCGGCCUCAGAUAUUCAAGCCCCGUGGCAAACAGUUCCAACAUCAGCCCUGUACCUGUGCCUGAGGAACUCCACUGUGUUCUGUUGUCUGCUGGGGUCAGAACUUCCCAUGUGACUCUGGGACAUGUUCCUGCCCUCCUCCAGGCAUGGAAGUCUCCCCCUCUUCCUCCAGCUCCAAAGAAUGUUCAGCGGUGUCCUGAGAGGGUUGAGAGUCCACCACAGAGGGGGAACUGUCGCAGCAAGUAGCAGAGAUAUUAGCUGGAGCAGUAACUUGAGAGCUCACAUCUCAAACCACAAACGGGAAGCAAAGAGGCACACUGGAAAUGGUGAGAAUCCUUUUGAAGCCUGGAAGCCCAUCCCAGUGACACACCUUCCCCAAGGCCACACCUCCUGAUCCUUCCCAAAUGGGUCCACCAACUGGAGAGCAGGUACUCACCUCAAAUGAGCCUAUGAAGGUCACUGUUACCCAAGUCCCCACAGCUGGCUGGAAGGUUGAAUUGGUGACUGCUUUUCUCACAGUAUGCUGUUAUUUGGUCCCUGUAUUACUGUGACACGGGUGACAUGGGUGACAGAUGAGGUCCUGAGCCAGUGGAUGCAAAAAGACCACAGGGGACAAGGAUGUCUGGCCUCCUUGGAUGUAAGCGUCUACCUGGAACCGAGUAAAUACUCCAUAGAUAACUUCAGAGUGCGACGCCGUGGGAUUCCAGCUGAAUCAUGAUCGGAAUGACUCCGCAAUGACGGGCGCUCACACUUCACAUCUCAGCCAGCGCAAGACUCUGCCUUCCUCAUUCCCUGUUCCUCUGGUGGGACUGGGGGGCAGGGAGAGGCAGAGGGGUUGUUAUAAUCAUUUUAUAAAACAUGCAGGUGGUCUCUCAAUCUUGAGAGUGCCGUGGGCCUGUUAGGUCUGGUGGCACGUACCUGUAACCCCAGCCCUUUGGUAUUACAAUUCAGAUCACAGGAGGCAGGAGGAUCACAAGUUCGAGGGAGCCCUGAACUAUACACAGUUGAGUCAGUCAUAGAUCCAUAGCUUGCCCCUGUCUCAGGGGUGGGGGUGAGGGAAAUCCACAGUC